CAAAGGGUAGCUUACACCUAACCCAAAAGCACCUAGCUUACACCUAGACGACGCGGCUCUCCCGCCCCCUUGAG
rnacentral:tRNA from 1 species